GAUUGAACGCUGGCGGCAGGCCUAACACAUGCAAGUCGAGCGGUAGCACAGAGAGCUUGCUCUCGGGUGACGAGCGGCGGACGGGUGAGUAAUGUCUGGGAAACUGCCUGAUGGAGGGGGAUAACUACUGGAAACGGUAGCUAAUACCGCAUAAUGUCGCAAGACCAAAGUGGGGGACCUUCGGGCCUCAUGCCAUCAGAUGUGCCCAGAUGGGAUUAGCUAGUAGGUGGGGUAACGGCUCACCUAGGCGACGAUCCCUAGCUGGUCUGAGAGGAUGACCAGCCACACUGGAACUGAGACACGGUCCAGACUCCUACGGGAGGCAGCAGUGGGGAAUAUUGCACAAUGGGCGCAAGCCUGAUGCAGCCAUGCCGCGUGUGUGAAGAAGGCCUUCGGGUUGUAAAGCACUUUCAGCGGGGAGGAAGGCGAUAAGGUA
rnacentral:rRNA from 1 species